AGAGUUUGAUCCUGCUCAGGAUGAACGCUGGCGGCGUGCCUAACACAUGCAAGUCGAACGGACUCGGAUUGAACCUAGUGAUUUCCGAGUUAGUGGCGACGGGUGAGUAACGCGUGGAUAACCUGCCGUAUGCAGGGGGAUAACAGUUGGAAACAGCUGCUAAUACCGCAUAAGCGCACAAUACCGCAUGGUACUGUGUGAAAAGAUUUAUCGGCAUACGAUGGAUCCGCGUCCGAUUAGCCAGUUGGCGGGGUAACGGCCCACCAAAGCGACGAUCGGUAGCCGGCCUGAGAGGGCGGACGGCCACAUUGGGACUGAGACACGGCCCAAACUCCUACGGGAGGCAGCAGUGGGGAAUAUUGCACAAUGGGGGAAACCCUGAUGCAGCGACGCCGCGUGAGUGAAGAAGUAUCUCGGUAUGUAAAGCUCUACCAGCAGGGAAGAAAAUGACGGUACCUGACUAAGAAGCCCCGGCUAACUACGUG
rnacentral:rRNA from 1 species